rnacentral:rRNA from 1 species
GACGAACGCUGGCGGCGUGCUUAACACAUGCAAGUCGAGCGGUAAGGCCUCGUCGGGGGUACACGAGCGGCGAACGCGUGAGUAACACGUGGGUGACCUGCCCUCAGCUCUGGGAUUAGCCUGGGAAAAUGGGUCCAAUACCGGCUAUGACCUUUCCUCGCAUGGGGUUUGGUCGAAAGUUCUUUAGGCUGGGGAUGUGCCUGCGGCCUAUCAGCUUGUUGGUCGGGUGGAGGCCUAACAAGGCGACGAAGCGUAGCCGUCCUGAGAGGAUGACCGGCCACCCGGCAGCGGAGACAAGGUGCAGAAUCCUAACGGAGGCAGCAGCCGGGCAUCUUCGGCAAGGGGCGGAGGGGUGAAGUAGCCAAGGGGCGGGAGCGAAGAGGGUCUUCGGAGCGUGAAGGAUUACAACUUGGGAGGAAUAGACGUCUUUCGACACCGACGUAUUUUGACGGUACCGAAAGAAGAAGCACCGGCCAACUACGUG